rnacentral:misc_RNA from 1 species
GAACCACAAAUAUUCAUCGGCAUUUAUCAACUUUCAAAGUUGUUCGAAUAAUUCUGAGCAAUAUAAGACGAACCGAAUAUACAUUUGUAUAUUUACCGUCCAAAAGCAGAGACGCUGGUAGAGACCGGAAACGGUAGUCCAAGACUAAGACCCCUAAGGCCCAAAUGAGGCGGUGGAAGAUGUAGAAAUCCCCUGGUAGGAGUGACCAAAGGUACACCCGGCGCUGUAGAGGAAGCCUGACAUCCCGUCGAUGUCCCAGGAUAAGAUGGUGGCAUCGAGCAUGAUCUCAAGGCUCGACGAUGUUGCCUUCGCAAUCGCCUCUCUCUUCGACGAGCACCGCGAACGCCGUCGAGAUCCUCCAACGCCUCUGGACCAUUUUGCAGCGGCAGCUCCGUUUGUGCCUCCGUCGAAGUGAAAGACCGCGCAUUGUCUCGCGAUUCCUGCAAAGUUCACGAUUUUUAACAGAAUAUAUGGAGAAGAGACGCGACAGGGAUUAUUAUCAAUGGCGAGAUGAAAAUUAGAGAAUUAUCGGUUGCGCUUAGAUGGCCAAUGUUCGGGCGUUUAAAGGAAAAUUCAGACGAACAAAUUCAUACGUACAAACGAACGUAAUAUAUUGCGCGCAAUGGCAAAAGUAUAUAAAUAUGUGAAGUAUGCAAAGUAGGGUGGACGUUAUGAUAUUUAGCGAAACAGACGGUUUGCUAUUAGAUCUUGUUUCUUAGUUGCGUCAAUGAAAAUAUGCAUUUGCGUAUUAAAUAUUCACGAUCCAGUUUAUAAUAACGUUCUGACCUACGAAUGAGUUUAUUCGUGCGUUUUACUUUGUAAUUUAUUUAUAUUUGUUGGCAUGAAAGUAAAAUCUAUUAUACACUGUCUUUCGCUAUUCAAUGCGUGGUAUUUACUAUCUUUCGCGUUUCCAGUAACUUCAAAGGCGCGGCUUUCUAUUUUAAAAAAAGAUUUUCCUAGCCCAUUAUCCAUUUUUCUCUGCUAAUUAGAGGAAAAUACGACUAGCUGUGCGAAUUCACGAUAAUAAUCUAAAUUUUCACCUGUGCACAUAAUACAAGCAUCCUGCAUUUGUGACAGCCGGCGCACUCCAAAUUGUUCCUUUUGCUAUUCUAUAUCUACUGCACUUUCGCGCGUUCUCUCCCAUUCUAAUCACGAUUUCGUGAUUUCCGUUCCUUAUUACUUACUACGUAAUCACUCACUUUUAACCUUUAAAAUACACACGUAUACGGGGUGACAACGAAAUAGGUGGUCGAACAAUCUUGUUACGUUAAAAUACCAAAAAAUCUGCUCAUACAGGUAAUCAGUUUCUUAAAGAUGAUAAAUUAAUAGAGAGAGAGAUAGAGAGAGUAUAACGAUAAAAAUAUCUUUCUCCUUAUGUAAAGUAUUUUUUUUUUAUUCGCGAUGGAAUAUUGUAAGAGUAUUAAAAAAUUACAGCUUCUAAAUUUCUUUCGAAAUGUCUCUCGGAUUAUUAAUCAAUUUUUUAUUCGAUUACGAAUAUAAGCGGUUAUAUAACAAAUAUA